GCAGUCAUGGCCGAGUGGUUAAGGCGGACUAGAAAUCCAUUGGGUCUCCCGCACAGGUUCGAAUCCUGUUGACUGCG
rnacentral:tRNA from 2 species